rnacentral:rRNA from 1 species
UACGGGGGGGGCAAGCGUUGUUCGGAAUUACUGGGCGUAAAGGGCGCGUAGGCGGCAUAUUAAGUCAUCUGUGAAAUCUCCGAGCUUAACUCGGAACUGUCAGCUGAUACUGAUGUGCUAGAGUGCGGAAGGGGCAAUCGGAAUUCUUGGUGUAGCGGUGAAAUGCGUAGAUAUCAAGAGGAACACCUGAGGUGAAGACGGGUUGCUGGGCCGACACUGACGCUGAGUGCGCGAAAGCCAGGGGAGCAAACGGG